CUCUCCGUCGCCACAUUCCAAAAUCGUUUGAACCAUUUGCUUUCUCUCUCGUCCUCUCCGUCUCAACACACGGUUGGUGCUCCCGAGGUCAACGAGCGGCUUCUGCGGUGGCGCGCCCAGAUCCAGCGAUGGCGUGACAUGAUCCGGCGUUGGCGGGCUCAAAUCCGGCAGAUUUGCCAGCUCCUCGCCCGCCACCUCCGCCACCGGCGGACAGCCCACCCCGCCCCCCCGACGCUAUCGCCCUCGCCGCUGCGUCGGGUGGGGGACGGAUGCCGACGGCUGCCUUUGAGGAGGCCAGAUUGGUCUGCACAGUGAUCUCCCAGAUCCGGUAUACGCAGGGCUCUCCUGCGCCGACGGAGACGCGUCGCGGCUGCCCGUCCCCGCCGGCGACAAAGGAGGUCCUUGCCGCUGCCGGGUGGGCCGGUGGUCGCGGCCGCCCCUCCCGCUACCAGGCCGGCAGGAGCUGGUGCUGCCCCUCCCGCGCGCGGCCCCUCCUCCACGCACGCGGUUGCGGAGCAGGCCGGAGGCUGCGCCGUCCACCCCGUUCCCAGCGCGUGGCGGCAAAGGAGGCACGCCGGCCGCCCAUCCCGCGCAUGGUCGCCGCCCGUCCCGUCCUGCUGCCGCAGGCCAGGCGCUAGCCGUCCCAACCUCCCAGUACAGAUGCCUCCACCGGGUACAUCACCCGCCGCGCCUCCUGUAUCCCGCCUGAGCUGCCUCCUGCUCCUCCUCGCACCAGACGAGCUAGACUGGAUUUUUUUUAAUUUGCUUCGAGUUUGGGUGCUGGGCGUGUGGGAUUGACGCUAUUCCGGGGAGAGAUUGGUCGGGAAUGCCGACGUUUUCUGGCCGGCUUGGUGCUUUUCUUGGUGGUUUAGGUGGGGUUUUUGUCCUAUAUGAUUUCUGGUUGUUUUGCUUCAAAAAUUUCUGGGCGCAUGCUUGAUUUGGGUUGCCAAUUGCAAAUGCAAUGCUCAUCUACGACAAUGAAUUGUCAUAUUGCUCUCAGGUAUGUGACUAGUCACUUUUUUUUUUGAAGAAAUUAGUCGCAUUGCUCUCAGGUAUGUGACUAGUUCAAUCCUCGGAUCAUGAAUUGAUGAUACCAGAGUCAUGUACAUCUACCUACAUUGAAGGUUCACGAGCAGCUCAUGGAUGUCCGGUCGGGCCGAGGUAGUGACCUCCCCUGCCGAGGAGAAGAGCGUGAGGAGGAACGAGAUGGCGGCGGCAGCAAGCAGUAUGUGGACUGAUGCACCAAUCGGUGGUUCCUCCCACGGUCCUCGAUGGCCGGGUGCCGCAGGAUCUAUUGUCAUCUGAAGAUGUGGUCUUCGAUGAUAUGAACUCGUUGAAGACGAGGGAGCAAGGGCGGAGCAGACAACGAGCUCGUGGGCCAACCAGUUGUGAUUGUAGAUCAAUCAUGUAUUUUGCUACUGGAUGGUACCGGAUAAUGUCUCUUAAAUAGAUGUUCUUACUAUUUUCCGAGAAGCUAA